AUGGGGUGGGCCUCCAUGCAGCCUCCUGGCCGACACCCCAGAGCAGUCGGGCCACCCAGGCAGGGCGGGGGUCGUACCAGGCUCUGCUGCCAGGCGGAGGUGUCUGCUGAUGCCGCCGGGCGAGGAAGGGGCCUGGUGGGGAGACAGCCAGGACGGGGGAGGCCCGCAUUCUCCAACGAGGGCACAGAGACGGGCUGCAGGGUGCCUGGCUGUGAGGGCACGACCCGGUCGCCCUGGGGCUGGGGGUACGGGCCUCCCAGGGCCACGGCCAACUCCAGGCACCCUGCUCCCACAGCGCACUGGGCAGCGCCCAUGGAGGGUGGACAAGUGCAGACGCAAGGUGCCCCCAGAACGCACCUGCCCCAUCCCCGUGGCUGGUCACCAGGCUCUGCAGGCCUGCGGGGUGGUGAGCACAGACAGCCAGCCCGGGCCCCACGGGCCCUCCACACGGGCAGGGUGGGCCUCGAUGGACGUAAGGUGUCGUCAGGGAGGGAAGGGUGCAGGCCGGGGAGGAGCAGGGACCCAAACCAGCUGUGUGGCCUUGGGCAAGGCACCUAUUUCUCUGUGCCUCGGGCUGGCGCCACCCUGCCUGUUACUGCAAAGACUGGCAGCCCCCCAGGCUGCGGGCGCAGGGGGGACGCCGAGCCCCCAGUGAGCUCCCCGGGGCUGUUCUGGGGCCCACACACAGGCAGGUCCUGCAGGGGUGGGGAGCAGGGCGGCAGCAGGGCUGGGUGGCGGGGGCUGGGGGUGACCCUCCCAAGGCCCUGCACACUCCCUCCUCGGCUCCUGAGUGUGCGCACAGCCGGGUGUGAGUGCACGAGUCUCCUGCGCCAUGGCCCCGGGUCCCCGCAGACCCCGCAGUGCCACGGAGUGGUGACCCCGGGGACCCAGCUCGGAGCCCCUCUCAGCCAGGCUCUCGGGUCAGAGCUGCCUCCAGGGGGAGUCUGGGGGUGGGGAGGGCCCUUCCUGCCCGCCCCCAGCUCCUGGAGCUUGUGGCCACAUCCCCCCAUCCCUGCGUCCGUCCUCCCACGAUCCCAGGAAGACGCCAGCCGUCGGGUCAGGGCCCACCCUACAGGCCCCACCUUGACCACGCCUGCAAAGACCUUAUUUCCAAAUGAGGUCACACUCACAUGUCCUCGGGGUUGA
rnacentral:lncRNA from 1 species